rnacentral:rRNA from 1 species
AGUAACGGCGAGUGAAGCGGGAAAAGCUCAAAUUUAAAAUCUGGCAGUCUUUGGCUGUCCGAGUUGUAAUCUAGAGAAGCAUUAUCCGCGCUGGACCGUGUACAAGUCUCCUGUAAUGGAGCGUCAUAGAGGGUGAGAAUCCCGUCUUUGACACGGACUGCCAGGGCUUUUGUGAUGUGCUCUCAAAGAGUCGAGUUGUUUGGG